ensembl:snRNA U6 U6 spliceosomal RNA
GUGCUCACUUCGGCGGCACAUGUACUAAAAUUGAAACUAUACAGAGAAGAUUAGCAUGGCCCCUGCACAAGGAUGACACACAAAUUCGUGAAGCGUUCCAUAUUUUU